AAGAAACCAACAGGGAUUGCCCUAGUAACGGCGAGUGAAGCGGCAACAGCUCAAAUUUGAAAUCUGGCCUCGGCCCGAGUUGUAAUUUGCAGAGGAUGCUUUUGGUGCGGUGCCUUCCGAGUUCCCUGGAACGGGACGCCACAGAGGGUGAGAGCCCCGUAUGGUUGGACACCAAUCCUGUGUAAAGCUCCUUCGACGAGUCGAGUAGUUUGGGAAUGCUGCUCUAAAUGGGAGGUAAAUCUCUUCUAAAGCUAAAUACCGGCCAGAGACCGAUAGCGCACAAGUAGAGUGAUCGAAAGAUGAAAAGCACCUUGAAAAGGGGGUUAAACAGUACGUGAAAUUGUUGAAAGGGAAGCACUUGUGACCAGACUUGGGCCGGGCGGCUCAUCAGGGGUUCUCCCCUGUGCACUCCGCCCGGUACAGGCCAGCAUCGGUUUUUGCCGGGGGAUAAGAACGGUAGGAACGUGGCUCCCCCUCGGGGGAGUGUUAUAGCCUGUCGUACGAUACCCUGGCGGGGACCGAGGUUCGCGCUUCCGCAAGGAUGCUGGCGUAAUGGUUACUAGUGACCCGUCUUGAAACACGGACCAAGGAGUCGUCCAUUAGAGCGAGCGUUUGGGUGUCAAACCCGCACGCGUAAUGAAAGUGAAAUUAGGUGAGAGCUUCGGCGCAUCAUCGACCGAUCCUGAUGUUCUCGGAUGGAUUUGAGUAAGAGUUUUAACGGACGGACCCGAAAGACAGUGAACUAUGCUUGUAUAGGGUGAAGCCAGAGGAAACUCUGGUGGAGGCUCGCAGCGGUUCUGACGUGCAAAUCGAUCGUCAAAUAUGAGCAUGGGGGCGAAAGACUAAUCGAACUGUCU
rnacentral:rRNA from 1 species